rnacentral:tRNA from 1 species
CGCGGCGUAGCUCAGAAGGAUAGAGCCCCUGUUGUCUUCAUAUGGUUGAAUGUAGAAAUUUUACAGUAUGGGCAGGGAGGUCGCAGGUUCAAGUCCUGUCGCCGCAA